CCUUGCCCCGUGUAUAAACUUCAGAGGGUGCAGUUAACCCUCUGUGACAGCCGCACAAAGCAGAAUGUCAUUGGAAUUGGUGGUCCUUCUGCCAUCAAGGUUGGUGGGUGGGUCCCCAUCCUGCCUUUGUCUCCCAAGCCUCCUCUACAUGCUACCCUCACUAAAAAAGGUGCUAACAAAAUCUCAGUGCUCUCCCCUUCCCUAUGCUUCCUAAAACCAAGUAGUCAAACAGGAUCUCAAAUCCAGGCUAGAGGUGGAGGGAGCUAUGGGCCCCGAGGCAACAUCUUUGCAGGAUCCAUGCGUAGUCCUUGUGGAAGGAAGGAUCUGUCUUGAUUUAUUAUAUCCAUAAGUUAUUUCCACAAGAACCUGGACAAAGUCCUCUUGCCACCGAGAGUUGUAGGCGACAGAAAGGAAACUGGCAAGUUCAGGCUCCUGAAGCCAACAGAUGUGACCUCUCGGUGACAAUCUCCCUGAGGAGGUGGACACCAUAGCGUUUCGAAAGCAGGAAGCUGGAAGGCCCGGAAGCCAGAGCAUCACACAGAAAGCCCUUCACAGACUAAGAUUCAGAAGAACAUCGCAUAUGUGUCAAAACUGCCUAGAAUGUAGUGCUCGCAAAGCAGAACUAGUGAAAGAGAUUUUCCUGGGGACCCCAGCCGACCCAGGCCUGGUUUAUUAUUUUCUGCUUGUACUGUGCUAUAGUUCUGCAGAGUGAGAAAACCAAAUAAAACAUGUAGAGGGUCUCUCCAUAUUGUUUCUUACAACUUACGGGAAUCCAGUUAUCUCAAAAUAUCAAAUAUCAAAGCCAGUUAUUUUUAAAAAAAAAAAAUCCAAAC
rnacentral:lncRNA from 1 species